rnacentral:snRNA from 1 species
AUGCUUACCUGGCUGGGAAGACACCAUGAUCACAAAGGUGGUUUUCCCAGGACAAGGCUUAUCCAUUGCACUCCAGAUGUGCUGACCCCUGAGAUUUCCCCAAAUGUGGAAGCUCCGUUGCAUAAUUUGUGCUAGUGGGGGACUGUGUUCACGCUCUCCUCAA